AUCGCUUCUCGGCCUUUUGGCUAAGAUCAAGUGUAGAAUUUUCCAGCUAGUUGUAAUGAGUAGUCAGGAUUGAAAAUGCACAAUUGAAACUUUCAGUUGAAUUUUAUUUAUUAAGUAUUUUUUUGAAAUAAGGAUAAAAUGAAGAGAGAAUUCAGUGCUAACAGACUCCAAUCUUCAAGUUAG